ensembl:lncRNA
AAAAAACAAAACAAAACAAAAAAUGAAAAUUAAGAACCUUCCCAAGUUGACAUGAUCGUGAAAAUCACAACUAAGAAAUGAAACUUAAGUCUUUUUCAUUCCAUUUUCAUUACAGCUGAUUGACUACCCUUCCAAUAUUUUGAGUCUAUACAUCUGAAACAACCUGUUUCCAAAGAGCAUUCUUUUUUUUUUAAGUACAUAUCCUAAGACAAUAUUAACUUUCCCAGCCUAUGAAUUCAUAAAUGUGCCUGGUAUAAAUUAGAAAAAAAAAGUUGGACAAAUGGUCAUAAGGAACGAGAUACAUGACAAUCACAAUGGAGGAAAUUCUGGUGUGCCCAGUCUUUCACCGAGCCAGCGUUAGAGCCACUGCAAGUUACUUCAUCAUUCUCUGGAAUAUCUCUUCUCCAAAGAAUGAAUGCACUGGAAGCUAUAGCAUCACAUCUAAUGCUGAAGAAGAGAAGUAGAAUGUGUUUACUUCUUGCAAGACAAAUGAAUAAAAGAAGUUACCUCAUGCAAAGAGUUGACUCACUGGAAAAAACUCUUAUGCUUAGAGGGAUUGGGGGCAGGAGGAGAAGGGGAUGACAGAGGAUGA